rnacentral:lncRNA from 1 species
UAAAAUUGAAAGUAGAUUACAUCAUACAAAUGGAGUAUGAAGCACAUCAUGUAAGAGCCAUUUUCGCCCAUUGUGCAUUAUGAGUUGGUAGGUUCUUACUCCUAGGACUUUUUCAUGUGCUCCGUUCAAAAUCAUGACAAAGUGUCUACUUGUUGGUAAACGAUGGUAAUCUAUAUAUCCUGCACAGUUGCAAGUUAUGUGCUUGGUUGCUCCUGCAUCUACAAUCCACCCAAGGAGAGAAUGAGAUAUAAACACAUGAGAACAUACAUAACUUCUAAAAUGGUUUAAAGGACGAAAAUGGUUUAAAGGACGAACAUUCUUAGGCUUACUGCACUCUAAAGCAAAAUGUCCCUUCUUACCACAAUUAAAGCAUUUCAACUUGGACUUAUCUUUUUUCCCACUAUGCUUGCCUCUUUGGCACUUGGUGACUCCAUUACUUUUGGGCCUUAAUGUCACGACCCGGUACUCUCCUCGAGCCCAUGACAACCGU